GCCCGCCUAGCUCAAUCGGAUAGAGCGUCAGACUCUUACUGAGGCAGGGGUGUUUGUAUCUGAAGGCUGCGAGUUCGACCCUCGCGGUGGGCU